rnacentral:tRNA from 1 species
GACCUCCGUGGUCCAGUGGUUGAGCGUUGGGCUCGCGAUCCGGAGGUCCCGGGUUCGAUUCCCGGUGGGGUCA